UUACCACUACUGCAGUUUCGUAAACCUAAAUCCACUAGUGACCUACUUAUGGUUCUGUUGUCACCCUCGACAUCAGUAAGGAUUUUGACUCUGCGUCACAUGCGAAUCUCCUAUCGAAACGUCUGCCUAUAGGCUCCACUUGAUUG